rnacentral:rRNA from 1 species
UAACUGAAGAGUUUGAUCCUGGCUCAGAUUGAACGCUGGCGGCGUGCCUAACACAUGCAAGUCGAGCGGUAACAGGUGUAGCAAU